AGUUAUGUGACAAUCAGAAAACAUGUAGUGUGAGUUUCUGUCCCAGGCAAAUCCACGCACCAUUUAAGACUGUUUGACUUGGUAACAGAGUCAGUGGCCAGCUCCUUCCUGUAAGGGAAGAGAUGAAUAAAACAGGAAGUGGGAGGGAGAAGACAGUCCAGAGCAUUUGUGAAGGGAAGGAUGGGGACACAGAACAGGAUCUCCAUGAGUGGUAAUAGCCAGCUUAACCCCCACAGGCAGCUGGCCAUGCUGUGUGAGUGUGCACGUGUGUGUGCAUAUGUGUGUUGGUGUAUAUAUAUGUGUGUGUGUGUGUCUGUGCAGGCAUACAUGUGCUUACAUAUGCAUGUGUGUCUUAUGUAAAGCAUGUAGAAGUAUGUGUACAUUUACUUUUUUACAGUUUUUUUCUAAAAACACUCCCUUUCUGUAUUGGAUAAGCUAAUUCCUAAGAGAUCUUUUUUGAUUGGCAACAUCUCUGAUAAGAGAUGACAUAAGAUGAGAGUUGCUUACAUGUAUGCAGAGUAAAACAAACUGGGACAGAAAGAGAGGCAGGCAGGGGGUCAAGGGUUUCUCACCUCUUGUGGGACCCAGGCUGGGUCUUCUGGCUGGGGUGGGUGGUGGUCUGGAGGGUGAGGGACAACUCAGGUGUCUCUGGUGCCCCGAGCUGCACAAAGUCGAAGACAGCAUCUUUUCCCGGAGACCCCUGAGCUUGGCUGGUGCUCACCCUGGUUUCCCAUUUCUCCCCUCAUUGCAAUAUUCUUAUGUUUCUGCAGACAGGCCUCCCGCCGGAAAAAAACCCCAGCAGCCUCCUGUGCCUCCCCAGAGACCAAUGGCUGCCCUUCCUCCACUGCCUACCGGCCGCAAUUACUCACCACUGCCCCCACCCCAGCCCAACCAAGAAGAGUCCAACAGAAGUCGAAACCACAAACCAGCAAAGUGUAAGCAUGAGGCUGCUCUCUCCUGGCCAACAUCCCACCCCUACCCCUGGCCCUGCCACUGGCUUUCUUCUGACUGCAGCCUUUCCCUUCCAGUGCCGGCUCCGUCUAUAGAUAGAAGAACAAAACCUCCCCUAGAUCGUUCUUUAGCCCCGCUGGACAGAGAGCCCUUCACAAUAGGUAUGAGUGAUAUUUGAUGCAUAAUAACAAUGGCUCACAUUUUCAGAGUGUUCACUAUGUGCUUUUAUUAUAUACAAUCUCAUUUAACUAGUGCCACAAUAGGAGGAAGUACUGGCUAUGAGAAUCAGCCUCAUUUUACAGAGGGAAACUGAGUCACGAAGAAGUAACUUCUCAAAAUCACUCAGCAACCAAGUGAUGGGGGUGAACCCAGAUCAACCCGAUUGUAGAGAACCUGCUUUGGGGCCAGGGCUGGUCCUCCAUGGGCACGAUUUGUGUCCACGCAACUCACUGCCCUUCAGCCAAGACACAGCAGGAGGCAUCAUGGUGCAAAGGAAGGAGAUGAGCUAAGAGAUAAGAGGUCUAGGAGCAUUGUUGUUUCUCCUCGGCUGCUAAUUAAUAGCUCAUUGACCCACAGGGGUGUUUUCUUUUUCAGAGCACAAUUUCCUAUUUGUGGUGGAUGUUCUGUAAGGAGGAAAUGGUUCAUGAAACUCUAAGGUGCUGUUCAAGUCUUUUCCCUCCACAAUUUACACAGAAUAUUCUGACUCCGGCUACCUUCACAUGGAGCCGUUUUCAAUUCAGUUCUAAAACAGUUACCAUUUAUGGCACACCUACUGUGGGGUGAGUGCUUCACUUACCUCAAAUAGUUUAUCAACAUUUUUUCCAAUCCUUAUGCCAACCCAACCAUGGGGUGUAUUGUUAUCCCCACCUCUCAGAUGAUGUAACUGAUGAUCAGAGAGGCUGAAUGAUUUGCCCAAAUUUGCAUAAAUAGUUGCAAAAUUUGAACCCAUAUCUUUCUGACUUCAAAGGAGGUGCUAACUCGGGUUUUAACUUGCUGUGCACUGGGUGGAUCUGAGGGAGGAGUCCUGAAAUUGAAUGAAUAGGGAAUCCAGAAUCCUGGCUCCCUCCCAGCAGUUCCUCAGCUGUACUCUGAACAGGGCAUUUAGCCUUUUGUGGGCUUCCUCUCCUCCAUUGUAGCAAAAUGAUUCAGUUUUUGGAUUUGAACCUGCUGCUUGCUGCUGUUCACCUGAAUUGCAUCACAGCUCCGCUGAGCCAUGCAAAGCCGGGUUGGUGUCUGUGUGGGGUUAGCAUAGUCCACUGCAGAGAGCUGUACAAGUUCUGUGGGAAUGAAGAUGGACUUGACUUCAGACUGUAGCUCUGCUCACUGUCAAGAGUCAGGGCAUCGGGCAUGUGGAAUACUGGUGCCAAAGCCUUCACAAUCAUCUCCUGACAUAACAAGUUAUUUUUUUAAUUUCUUUUUUGUCUAUUUAAAAAAUCCUAUUAUAAACACCUUUUCCUGAAAAUACGUCUUCUUUUUUUUUUUUUUUUUCUGGGACCAGGGAUCAAACUUGGGACUUGCACUUGUGAGGCAGGUGGCGGA
rnacentral:lncRNA from 1 species